UUUUUGCUGGCCAUCAUUCACAAAAAGGAACAGGGGUUAUCUUGCUUACCAUGAGAAUUCAAACAUUUUCUGUUAAAUCUAUACUAAAGAUAAAAAGAAUUUGAAAUAAAUUUCCAUCGUUGAAGUUUAAAUGUUCCAAUUUUUGUGAAGAUUUAGAGAAAAAAAUCCAGCAGGUGAAGUAAUUUUGAUAUGACCCGUGGAUUGUUUAUAUUUUGCAUAUAGCCUUGGUCAGCAUGACGCGCGAGAAUGUUGUUGAACCCAAGGUGAACCGGUUUUUGGAAUAUGUCAGGUGGUUAUGUCAGGAGUGGUGCAGGCAGGAGAUGAUUUUAAAGUAUUGGUGAGGUUGAGGUAGGACGAGUAGCUGUGAUGGAUCUGAGUGCAGGUGAUAGCCACGUCGGCUCUCGGGAGCCAUCACUCAGCUUCCUCCCCAAAGAGGUGCUGGCAUCGGCUCGGCCCGAGGUGCCUGGUGGACCGGGGGACGUCAGCUGUGAGGUGCUCAUCAUCGGCGCUGGAGUAGCCGGGCUCACUGCUGCUCAUGAACUGCUCAAACGGGAUCCAAACAUCAAUGUCUGUGUUAUUGAGGCCAAUGAUCGCGUUGGCGGUCGCACUCUGGCCACUCAGAUGCGUGUCAGGGAUGGUGCCACUGACACGUUUGACCUCGGUGGGCAGUGGGUGGCCCAUGCCCAAAAGGAGAUUAUGGAAACCCUCUCUGAGCUCGGGCUGGAGGUGUACCCCGACAAUAUGCAGGGCGCGGCACAGGUGCAGCUGAGUGGCCCUCGGGUGCGGCGGAUCGGCUCCCUCCCAAGCAUCGGCUCCUGGUGGGGCGUGGUCCAGCUGGCGCGCCUCUACAGGAAGAUCAACAGUCUGGCCGAACAGUGCGCGCCGGGCAGCUCGUCCCGGGAGCGCGUGGAGCGGGAACUGAACUCCUUCACCCUGGAGGCGUACGCUCGACAGUACCUGAGCGAGGGGCCCGUCCUGGAGCUCGUCACCACUCUGUGCAGAACCGAGUUAGGCUGUGAGGCCAGCCGUGUCGGUCUCGUCGAGUUUCUGUCGGAGACCCAGAGCGCCGGUGGUCUGUCAGGAACGAUGGGCGCGCAGGAGCUGAAGGUCAAGGGCGGCACGCAGCAGAUCAGCGAACUGCUGGCGGACCGGAUUGGCCGCCACCGUCUGUACCUGCAUCAUCCCGUCACCGGCAUCACCGAGAGGCAGGACGGCGGCAUCAGCGUCACCACCGCCGCCGGCAACCUCUUCCACUGCCAGCGUGUGAUCUGUGCGAUACCGGUGGUGCAGCUGCCCUGGAUCCGAUUCGACCCGCCUCUGAGCCCGCCCAAACGGGAGAUCAUCAGGAGCGCCAACACUGGACACCUCAUCAAAUUCAUCGUCACAUUCGAGCAGGCGUUUUGGCGCGAGUCGGGCCUGUCGGGCGCCACUAUCUCCAGCGGCGGCGGACAGCCGGAGGGACCCGUCUCGGCUGUCGUGGACGCCACCACCUACAAAGGCAGCCCGGCACUGGUCGGCUUCAUCUCCGGACGCUUCAGCCUCCACUGGCAGUCUCGCACGAAAGAGGAGCGGGAGAACGCUGUGAUUGCGCACCUGGUGGCGUUCUUUGGGCAGGACGUCAACCACUACAUCGAGUACCAAGAAAAGGUGUGGUCGGAGGAGCGGUACGGGGGCGGCGCGCCCGGCUGCUCCUUCGGACCCGGUCUCACCAGCCUGAUGCCAGAGCUGACGAAGCCGCACGGAAGCGUAUCGUUCUGCGGUGCGGACAUUGCCAGCAAGUGGCCCGGCUAUAUGUGCGGCGCUGUCAUCACCGGCCGGCUGAGGGCGCUCGAGACGCUGUACGCCCUCCGCCCGGGCGCGCUCAGUCCCACUGAUCUGGAGCGGAUCGGAAAACGCGGCGGCUGACGUCUGUCGGUCACCAAACACACCCCUGGCUCGGUGGAGGCUGCCUGCUAGGACGUCCGGCGAGGUGCCGGCCCGUGCCGGGCAGUACCCUGAUGUGGGACAGCACCCUCGGCCUGGCUAUCCGGCCGUUUGUCGUCCUCUUCCUGGUGAUGCUUCAGCGGAGGUUCUUGGGAGGCGGCAUCGCAGCCUUCGGCGUCGACUUCUGAGAACGGUGGUGGGUCAGCGCAUCUACACACUUUGCUUCGGUCGUAGUGAGAGUGUUAUAGGCGACACUAGGUAGUGAUAUUAUGUUACGCAGAGAUACUUGAUCGAGCACGGGUUAUCAAUCGUUAGACCGUCAAACAAAUUAACGGUUGUGAUCGGAAUAUGGCAUUUGGAUGUUUCGCGAGAGGUGAUUUUAUGAUUGCUUUGUAACCAGUAACUUUAACAGGCCUGUGGUUUGCCAAUCACUAGAUGCUGAGCUAAAAAGCUGCUCUAUUUUGCCUAGACGCGAUAUGCAGGGUAUAUGCUUUAAGUCUAGUGCUACUUACAAUUAUUGCUUGUCAAGAGUUUUUUUUUUUGUCUAGGUCGCUCAAGAUGUAUAGGCUGGGGUAGGUACUGAUGCUGUCACAUCCCACUGAAACUAUCACAUUGGUGUUUCACUGGCUUUAUCGCCUGAGUUGAGGUUCGAUUUGAUUGGCAUGGCUCUUGAAAGUCAUCAGUUCCUCGUCUGUAUUACUUUUUAUAUCAGCGUAGUUUUUGUGGUUUCUAAAUUUGCGCGUCCGCACUUAGUGAUUGGGCUACUGAUUUAGUUAAUGACACGUUAGAUAUGAAGGAAAGCACAAUGUUAAUUAUGCAUUAUUGACGGCAUCCUCGUUAGUUUGAGGCAUGAGGCACGUUUCGCAUUUCUUGAGUGCCUUGUAAUGGCUUGGCGGUAAUUGAAAUCGCGUUUACAUCAGGAUACUUCGGAAUAACGCGCUCAACUUUUAGGGCCUUAUUGUUUGAACAACUGUUUGAUUCCUCUUUUUACGUUGUUCCUUAUCAUUUGCCAUCGAAUUAUUUUAAAUCAACGCAAUUGACGUCAUGUAACUAAGAAAGGCUGAUUUCGAUUAUGCUCAAAUAGGCCGCAGCUGAACAAAAAAAAAAAAAUCAUGAACAUUUGCAAUCGAGAUGACACUAUCGAUAUGCUCGCAAAUUUGCUUAAGGUAUAGUUGUAUUGCAAGGAAACGUUACGCUUAGACUUUGUUCUAAAUCUGUUGCUUUUAUAGGAUGAUUAAACGUUUAAAGGUUCCGUGAUUUAUCCAUGUCCUAUUGUAAGCAUAAAGUGUGAAGCCGGUAUCUCAAUUCUCUAGCAUUUUUGCUUCAGUUCAAUUCUGGAACAUGCCAUAAUAAUCGUGUCUGCUCGUCCUAUCACAGUUUUGUGUGUGUGCACUGUAACUUUGUACUUUGUAAUGUACUAUAACCGCCUGCACUUGCGUUAGGGUGUGUGAUAGCUCAGUGUACUCAUUCUUUCCCAGUAUUAUUACAUAUCGUUCGCUGAUUUGUUUGAUUAGCUUUCCCCUGAUCUUAGUCAAUCGACCAAGUAGCUUGCUGCUUCUGGGAACCUGGCUGCAGUCUGACAUCUGUUUUGUGCCUUGACGAGUGCCUUUUCCCAAUUUUCUGUCGCUCACAUUGAUGGCCGCUAUUUCCGAAUAUAUCGUCUGCGCAGGCCUGUAGAGUGGCACGCCAGUAGACUAAUUGAUUGUGAUAUGAAUGAUUAUUCUACUUGAUAUUGCCGUCCACUAAUGUGAUGAUUCCGUGGUUGGAGGCUCUUGCCCGUAGUUGUCUGAUCGCGAUCAGAAUGUAUGUAGAAGUAAGGUUAUUUUCUAUCUUUUCAAUACAUGUUGCACGUCA